rnacentral:rRNA from 1 species
AGAACGAACGCUGGCGGCAUGCCUAACACAUGCAAGUCGAACGAGACCUUCGGGUCUAGUGGCGCACGGGUGCGUAACGCGUGGGAAUCUGCCCUUGGGUUCGGGAUAACAGUUGGAAACGACUGCUAAUACCGGAUGAUGACUUCGGUCCAAAGAUUUAUCGCCCAGGGGAUGAGCCCGCGUAGGAUUAGCUAGUUGGUGAGGUAAGGCUCACCAAGGCAC